rnacentral:rRNA from 1 species
GACGAACGCUGGCGGCGGGCUUAACACAUGCAAGUCGAACGAGAAGCCAGAGCUUGCUCUGGUGGAAAGCGGCGCACGGGUGAGUAACGCGUAGGCAACCUACCCCUAGAUUGGGAAUAACUCCGGGAAACCGAAGCUAAUACCGAAUAACAUCUUAGAGUCGCAUGACUCAGAGAUCAAAACUCCGGUGUCUAGGGAUGGGCCUGCGUAAGAUUAGGUAGUUGGUGAGGUAACAGCUCACCAAGCCGACGAUCUUUAGCUGGUCUGAGAGGAUGAUCAGCCACACUGGCACUGAGACACGGGCCAGACUCCUACGGGAGGCAGCAGUGAGGAAUAUUGCGCAAUGGGGGAAACCCUGACGCAGCCGCGCCGCGUGGUGGAUGACACCCCUAUGGGGCGUAAACACCUUUUAUGAGAGAAGAAGUCCUUACUCGGUAAGGUUUGACGGUAUCUCAUGAAUAAGCACCGGCUAACUCCGUGCCAGCAGCCGCGGUAAUACGGAGGGUGCAAGCGUUGUCCGGAAUCACUGGGUGUAAAGGGUGUGUAGGCGGAGCUGUAAGUCAGAGGUGAAAUCCUACGGCUCAACCGUAGAACUGCCUUUGAUACUGCAGCCCUUGAGUAUCGGAGAGGUUGCUGGAAUUCGUGGUGUAGCGGUGAAAUGCGUAGAUAUCACGAGGAACACCAGAGGCGUAGGCGGGCAACUGGACGAUUACUGACGCUGAGGCACGAAAGCGUGGGGAGCAAACAGGAUUAGAUACCCUGGUAGUCCACGCCGUAAACGAUGGAUGCUCGGUGUUGGCCCUCUUUUGGGCCAGUGCCUAAGCUAACGCGUUAAGCAUCCCACCUGGGGAGUACGCUCGCAAGAGUG